UACGAAGGUGGCAAGCGUUGUUCGGAUUUACUGGGCGUACAGGGAGCGUAGGCGGUUGGAUAAGCCCUCCGUGAAAUCUCCAGGCUUAACCUGGAAAGUGCAGAGGGGACUGUUCAGCUAGAGGAUGGGGGAGGAGCGCGGAAUUCCCGGUGUAGCGGUGAAAUGCGUAGAGAUCGGGAGGAAGGCCGGUGGCGAAGGCGGCGCUCGUGGAACAUUUCUGACGCUGAGGCUCGAAAGCGUGGGGAGCAAACAGGG
rnacentral:rRNA from 1 species